rnacentral:rRNA from 2 species
GGGUUGUGAGGUUAAGCGACUAAGCGUACACGGUGGAUGCCCUGGCAGUCAGAGGCGAUGAAGGACGUGCUAAUCUGCGAUAAGCGCCGGUAAGGUGAUAUGAACCGUUAUAACCGGCGAUUUCCGAAUGGGGAAACCCAGUGUGAUUCGUCACACUAUCAUUAACUGAAUCCAUAGGUUAAUGAGGCGAACCGGGGGAACUGAAACAUCUAAGUACCCCGAGGAAAAGAAAUCAACCGAGAUUCCCCCAGUAGCGGCGAGCGAACGGGGAGGAGCCCAGAGCCUGAAUCAGCAUGUGUGUUAGUGGAAGCGUCUGGAAAGGCGCGCGAUACAGGGUGACAGCCCCGUACACAAAAGCGCAUGUGCUGUGAGCUCGAUGAGUAGGGCGGGACACGUGGUAUCCUGUCUGAAUAUGGGGGGACCAUCCUCCAAGGCUAAAUACUCCUGACUGACCGAUAGUGAACCAGUACCGUGAGGGAAAGGCGAAAAGAACCCCGGCGAGGGGAGUGAAAAAGAACCUGAAACCGUGUACGUACAAGCAGUGGGAGCACCCUUCGGGGUGUGACUGCGUACCUUUUGUAUAAUGGGUCAGCGACUUAUAUUCUGUAGCAAGGUUAACCGUAUAGGGGAGCCGGAGGGAAACCGAGUCUUAAUUGGGCGUUAAGUUGCAGGGUAUAGACCCGAAACCCGGUGAUCUAGCCAUGGGCAGGUUGAAGGUUGGGUAACACUAACUGGAGGACCGAACCGACUAAUGUUGAAAAAUUAGCGGAUGACCUGUGGCUGGGGGUGAAAGGCCAAUCAAACCGGGAGAUAGCUGGUUCUCCCCGAAAGCUAUUUAGGUAGCGCCUCGUGAAUUCAUCUCCGGGGGUAGAGCACUGUUUCGGCUAGGGGGCCAUCCCGGCUUACCAACCCGAUGCAAACUGCGAAUACCGGAGAAUGUUAUCACGGGAGACACACGGCGGGUGCUAACGUCCGUCGUGAAGAGGGAAACAACCCAGACCGCCAGCUAAGGUCCCAAAGUCAUGGUUAAGUGGGAAACGAUGUGGGAAGGCCCAGACAGCCAGGAUGUUGGCUUAGAAGCAGCCAUCAUUUAAAGAAAGCGUAAUAGCUCACUGGUCGAGUCGGCCUGCGCGGAAGAUGUAACGGGGCUAAACCAUGCACCGAAGCUGCGGCAGCGAACGUAUCACCCAAGACAACUUUACGGAGUUGACGAUUGACGGAGCGAAGCGACGUCAAAGCGUUCAUUAAAGUCGAGUUGGCUUAGGGAUACGUUCGUUGGGUAGGGGAGCGUUCUGUAAGCCUGUGAAGGUGUGUCGUGAGGCAUGCUGGAGGUAUCAGAAGUGCGAAUGCUGACAUAAGUAACGAUAAAGCGGGUGAAAAGCCCGCUCGCCGGAAGACCAAGGGUUCCUGUCCAACGUUAAUCGGGGCAGGGUGAGUCGACCCCUAAGGCGAGGCCGAAAGGCGUAGUCGAUGGGAAACGGGUUAAUAUUCCCGUACUUGGUGUUACUGCGAAGGGGGGACGGAGAAGGCUAUGUUGGCCGGGCGACGGUUGUCCCGGUUUAAGGGUGUAGGUGUGUGUUCCAGGUAAAUCCGGUUCACUUUAACACUGAGGCGUGACGACGAGGCACUACGGUGCUGAAGCAACAAAUGCCCUGCUUCCAGGAAAA